rnacentral:rRNA from 1 species
UACCAGCACCCCGAGUGGUCGGGACGAUUAUUGGGCCUAAAGCAUCCGUAGCCGGUCCUACAAGUCUUCCGUUAAAUCCACCUGCUUAACAUAUGGGCUGCGGAAGAUACUAUAGGGCUAGGAGGCGGGAGAGGCAAGCGGUACUCAGUGGGUAGGGGUAAAAUCCUCUGAUCCAUUGAAGACCACCAGUGGCGAAGGCGGCUUGCCAGAACGCGCUCGACGGUGAGGGAUGAAAGCUGGGGGAGCAAACCGG